AGUCGAACGGCAGCAUGAUCUAGCUUGCUAGAUUGAUGGCGAGUGGCGAACGGGUGAGUAAUACAUCGGAACGUGCCCUGUAGUGGGGGAUAACUAGUCGAAAGAUUAGCUAAUACCGCAUACGACCUGAGGGUGAAAGUGGGGGACCGCAAGGCCUCAUGCUAUAGGAGCGGCCGAUGUCUGAUUAGCUAGUUGGUGAGGUAAAGGCUCACCAAGGCGACGAUCAGUAGCUGGUCUGAGAGGACGAUCAGCCACACUGGGACUGAGACACGGCCCAGACUCCUACGGGAGGCAGCAGUGGGGAAUUUUGGACAAUGGGCGAAAGCCUGAUCCAGCAAUGCCGCGUGUGUGAAGAAGGCCUUCGGGUUGUAAAGCACUUUUGUCCGGAAAGAAAUGGCUCUGGUUAAUACCUGGGGUCGAUGACGGUACCGGAAGAAUAAGGACCGGCUAACUACGUGCCAGCAGCCGCGGUAAUACGUAGGGUCCAAGCGUUAAUCGGAAUUACUGGGCGUAAAGCGUGCGCAGGCGGUUGUGCAAGACCGAUGUGAAAUCCCCGAGCUUAACUUGGGAAUUGCAUUGGUGACUGCACGGCUAGAGUGUGUCAGAGGGGGGUAGAAUUCCACGUGUAGCAGUGAAAUGCGUAGAGAU
rnacentral:rRNA from 1 species